GCUCCCGUGGCGAAACUGGUAAACGCUUCCGUUUGAGGGACGGAAUUCUUGCAGGUUGAAAUCCUGUCGGGAGUACUA
rnacentral:tRNA from 1 species